UGCCACAGCCAUAUCACCCUGCAGCCCAAGACUGGUUGCCCACUGAAGCUAAGCAGGGUUGAGCCUGGUCAGUACCUGGUUGGGAGACCUCCUGGGAAAACUAGAUUGCUGUUGGAA
rnacentral:rRNA from 1 species